rnacentral:rRNA from 1 species
GACGAACGCUGGCGGCGUGCUUAACACAUGCAAGUCGAACGGGCCUUGUCCCCUUUUUUUUGGGGGUGGGGUUAGUGGCGAACGGGUGAGUAACACGUGAGUAACCUGCCCCUCACUUCUGGAUAACCGCUUGAAAGGGUGGCUAAUACGGGGUGUUCUGGCCUGCUCGCAUGGGUGGGUUUGGAAAGAUUCGACCGGUUUUGGUUGUUUUGGUGGGGGAUGGGCUCGCGGCCUAUCAGCUUGUUGGUGGGGUGAUGGCCUGCCAAGGCUUUGACGGGUAGCCGGCCUGAGAGGGUGGGCGGUCACACUGGGACUGAGACACGGCCCAGACUCCUACGAGAGGCAGCAGUGGGGAAUAUUGCACAAGGGGCGCAAGCCUGAUGCAGCGACGCCGCGUGAGGGAUGGAGGCCUUCGGGUUGUGAACCUCUUUCGCCAGUGAAGAAGGUCCUGCUCUUUGUGGUGGGGUUGACGGUAGCUGGGUUAAUGAAGCGCCGGCUAACUACGUG